UACGUAGGGUGCGAGCGUUGUCCGGAAUUACUGGGCGUAAAGAGCUCGUAGGUGGUUUGUCGCGUUGUUCGUGAAAACUCACAACUCAAUUGUGGGCGUGCGGGCGAUACGGGCAGACUGGAGUACUGCAGGGGAGACUGGAAUUCCUGGUGUAGCGGUGGAAUGCGCAGAUAUCAGGAGGAACACCGGUGGCGAAGGCGGGUCUCUGGGCAGUAACUGACGCUGAGGAGCGAAAGCGUGGGGAGCAAACAGG
rnacentral:rRNA from 1 species